GAUGGAGGUAGGGCGGAGCGCUGCGUCCCAUCCCUUAUUCUGAGUUGCUGUUCCAGGAGCCCGUCCUGGCAGGCCCGCAGCGCAAUACUGUCACGCGAUAGUGUGGGUGGGCUUACAUGCAACCGGGGAAGUCAAUUUACAGAACACUGUGUUUGAUGAGAGGGGGGGGAGGGGUUGCGAAAAAACCGAAAAAGAUUUUACCAGGGGAUUCCAUGACCACAUGCCUUUCUCCUUUAGUGCAUGACUUGAUUUGUAACCUUGGGUUUGAACUCAAAGAAAUUUGUGAUAUCAAUAGCAUUGUAACUCAAAAUGGUGAAGUACGAUGGAAAGCAAUUACUGACCGUGUGAGAUAUGAAGAAUUAGGGCGAAGUCUGGACUACAGGAGAAGUGUGCAGCAGCUGGGUCCGGUGUGUGAGGCCAUCCACCUACACAUCUCAGCUCUGACCAGGGCUCAGUUUGAAAUUCAGUAUUCGCCUUGGUACCAGUGGACAACUUAUCCAGAGUUGUUUCUUGAGAUACUUGAUGCCUUGCAAAGCUCGCAGCCUGCUGCCGUCUCCCUCGGCGUGAUGAAACUAGCUUCCUGUCUGGAGCGAGCCCUCGGCGACGUAUUUUUACUGGUUGGGAAAGAGUGCCCCUUUCUCCUAAGAGAUCUUCUUGCAUCUGCAGAGCUUGCACAAGUCUUUGGACAUGCUGUGAUGGACAUACUAAAAGUCUUCAUCGGGUCUCCCUGCGGACUCAACCUGAGAAACGUCUUGUGGCAUGGCUUUGCUUCCCCUCAAGAUAUUCCUCCAAAAUACUGUUCAGCCAUGUUGCUGUUGACGGCAGGACUGGGCCAGUUACUGAAGAGUUACCUUCACCACACAAAGGUCACCUUGGCACAUCGACCUUUUGUAACACUCACAAACUUAGAGGAUGUGAUUGUUUUUCCUGGCAAGUCCCCCCUUACUAUGUCUUCGUAAAGGUAUUUGCGCACUCACUUUGUAAGUAGUAUCAGACUUGAAUUCUUGGUGAAAUAUGCGCUUGCCGUUGCCAAGAUGGCUCUGUAAGUUAUUGGAAGACCCUUUUAAACUUCACCCCUUCCCACUGCUUGGAUGCUAUUGGCCCUGAGAGUCACAGCUAGAGCUGGUCUCUUCCUCAGAUGUGCUACCAUUCAGAAAUCUUGGGGGCAUUCAUGGUAUCUGUUCUUCUUUCCUCUCACCUUGUCUACAUCUGUAUGAGUGGCCAUUAUAUCAGAUGUGCCAAUAGUGAAAAUUGCUGUAUCUUCUGAGACUACUUCUUUUUUGGGGGGAGGGGGUGGAUUUCGAGACAGGGUUUCUCAGUAUAGCUGUGGGGCUGUCCUGGAACUCACUCUGUAGACCAGGCUGGCCUCGAACUCAGAAAUCCGCCUGCUUCUGCCUCCCAAGUGGUGGGAUUAAAGGCGUGCGCCACCACGCCUGGCUCUGAGACUACUUCUUACUCCUCUAGGUCAGUGUCCUCAACUCGCUUGAGCCCCACUCUCAGUUGCUGCCCAAGUCUCUGAAGAGAUCCAGUUGCCCAUUUUUCCUUUUGGCAACUUCCUAAGGCCACUUUACUGUAGCUGUAGGCCAGGUGUGACUUAUGAGGUACUGUCAGCAUUAGAGACAGUGAUGACAAAAUCCAACUUCCUAUUAAAAAUCAUGUUGCCAUAUUGGGAAAUGGCAGUGAGCAAGUUCAAGUCGCACAGGUUUGCCGACUGCACCAUGUUGUUGCUGUCACAGCUAGAAGCUGGACUCAGGAGACUGUUUGCUGCAGUUAACAAGUGUCCUGAUAGACUGCUCACAGCCGAGUCAACAAUUCUGUAUACCACGUUUGAUGAAAUACUGGCAAAACACAUGAGUGAUGGUAGCAUGAACCAGCUUCCUUGUUUCCUUGGAGAGCCUGCCAUGGAAUUCUUGUGGGAUUUCCUGAACUAUCAGGAGGGUCCUCGUAUCCGGGAUCAUUUAAGCCAUGGGGAGAUCAACAUAUGUGAAUUUCCAGAAGAGGCCGCAGGCCAGCUGCUCACAUUCUCCCUGGUGCUGCUGCUCAGAUUCACUGAGAAGGGGACAGUGUCAGAACUGAAGGUACCACAGAGGGAGGGAGGAGGGUGGCUGGCAGAAUGUACUACCACCAGCAAGGGAAGAGCAUGUCUUAUUUCUCAAAUUUGAUUUAUCUUAAUUUGAGUUACAAUACCCUGUCAGAAUAUAUGCAUGUGUACAUUCUCUAAAAGUCUGGGUUCUGAAGCUGAAAUAAUUUGUCUUUGAAAUGCC